rnacentral:rRNA from 1 species
UAAAACCAGCUCCUCAAGUGAUCCGGACUUUUACUGGGCCUAAAGCGUCCGUAGCCGGGCCUGCAAGUCUUCGGUCAAAUCCGGCAGCUCAGCUGUCGGCCUGCUGGAGAUACUACAGGCCUUGGAGGCGGAAAAGGUAGAGGGUACUCCUAGGGUAGGGGUGAAAUCCGAUAAUCCUAGGGGGACCACCAGUGGCGAAGGCGCUCUACUGGGACGCGCUCGACGGUGAGGGACGAAAGCCAGGGGAGCGAACCGGAUUAGAUACAUGCUUGUAUCUCACAACACGCAAAUACCCGGGUAGUCCUGGCUGUAAACGAUGCGGGCUAGGUGUUGGUCCAGCCACGAGCUGGGUCAGUGCCGUAGGGAAGCCGCUAAGCCCGCCGCCUGGGGAGUACGGUCGCAAGGCUG